rnacentral:lncRNA from 1 species
CCAAACCAAAGAAACUUUUAUUAGGCACAUGCCUAAUACUUAUUCAAUGAAAUGGACAUCAUCAAUAAUCACUCUUUAACCGAGAUGUAAUGAGUGGGUACUUGAGCAUUGAGAGUCAUAACAAACCCUGAUCUACCAAGCAUGCAUUGAUUUACUCUACCCAUUAGGUUUACACCUAGGUGACGGUUACAACCCUAGGCUUUUCCCUAUUUGACAAAAACAUCAAAAACAUUUCAAUCAUUAUUUCCGUACUAGUUAGUUUAAUCUCUUAGCAGUUAAUUUAGAUUACAGUUACCCACCUUUGCUUGGUUAUUUGAAUUCAAACUGCUUGUUUAGUGUAUUAAUCACUUUGCCUUAAAGAAAGGCCACGACAGGUUGCAUCAACUUCAUCUUAUUUCAAAGUAAAAUCGCAGCAGAAGCCCCCAGAGAUGGUCAUACAGUAUAAAUGAAUAUAUUCUUACAACGUGCCACAGGAAGCAACAAGCAAAUUUUAGAUGGGAUAUGCAAGAAAGGUAGGUCAAUAUAUCCACAAACUGAUUAACAUUUCGUGCUGUGGAAGAUCAACUUUGUACUUCUUAUGGUACAAUCGAAUUAUAAUGCCUUGAAAAAAUAUUGAUGACAGAAAUUCCUUGGUGACCUGUUUGUAAGGGAAAACGGCUGAGAAAAGCUUCUUACUUUGGUUGUCUUGUAAGCGACUGGAGCGCCCUCCCCCC